rnacentral:rRNA from 1 species
GACGAACGCUGGCGGCGUGCUUAACACAUGCAAGUCGAACGGAAAGGCCCUGCUUUUGUGGGGUGCUUGAGUGGCGAACGGGUGAGUAACACGUGAGUAACCUGCCCCUGACUUUGGGAUAACUCCAGGAAACUGGGGCUAAUACCGGAUAGGAGCUUCUGCUGCACGGUGGGGGUUGGAAAGUUUCGGCGGUUGGGGCUGGACUCGCGGCUUAUCAGCUUGUUGGUGGGGUAGUGGCUUACCAAGGCUUUGACGGGUAGCCGGCCUGAGAGGGGGAACGGGCACAUGGGGACUGAGAUACGGCCCAGACUCCAACGGGAGGCAGCAGUGGGGAAUAUUGCGCAAUGGGCGGAAGCCUGAUGCAGCAACGCCGCGUGCGGGAUGACGGCCUUCGGGUUGUAAACCGCUUUCGCCUGUGACGAAGCGUGAGUGACGGUAAUGGGUAAAGAAGCACCGGCUAACUACGUG